ACGGGUUCAACCAAUGCCUUAGAUUAGAAGAUUUAGCUACUCAUGACAAUAACAAAUAUCAUAAUAAUAAAUUUCAUUACAAAUCAGUAAAACAAAAGAAGAAGAAAAACCAAAAUGAAGACAACUCUUCUUAGCUCCUUGCUUUUCUCUUCUUGUUCUUGGCUUCUCAAAACUCUCAAAACCCAGAUCUUGAUCCUCUUGGUUGAGCUUGACUUUAUGUAAGUUGAGUGGGUUCUUUUCAAAUUUCCAAUUUUAUGCCUAAAUAAUUCUUUUUCCGGACUGGAAACGAGUGACUUCGCAUAGUCUUCACGAGAUUCACUGCCUCAGAGGCUUAAACGCGUGACUUUGCGCAGUCUUCACUCGCCUGACUGACCCAAUUUUCUUCCAUUUUCUUGUCUCUUCCUUGGGUGUAAACAUUCUGAAGGAUUGUUUUUGCUCAUAAAUUAUUCCCAUAGCCUUUUCAAAGUAUCAUAUAGGCUCCUCUUCCUACAAUGCAUACAAAUCAUAAUUAAAGCCUAUUUCUCAUUAAUUAGCUAUAUUAUGUUAUUGGAAUAUAAUCAAGCGAGAGCAUAAAUAACGACUAAAUCACACAGAUUUCACCUCUUAUCACUUAUCCCAAGGAUAAACAAGCGACAGAACUCUAUCCUCAUGUGAUAUAUUUCUGACUCGGUAACUUCUUUCUGGGGAAGACGGGAACAAUGUUUUGGUGAAGCACUCUAAAGUUGGUUCGGGGGAUCUAUUGAUGAAGCAACAACUCGGGGUCUAACUUGGUCUUCAACAGACUCUGAUAUAUUAGGAUCCAUUUACAUCCACUGUAUGCAAGAUACUUCUCCCACAACCGGCAAGUAUUUCGCCGAUUGCUAACCACCUUGAGCGACGUGCUGAAGUGUGAAUGAGCAUGUGAAUGUUAGACUCAUGCUAUAGAUACCUCCACUUUAUAAUUAU
rnacentral:lncRNA from 1 species